rnacentral:misc_RNA from 1 species
AACGCACAUUGCGCCCUUUGGUAUUCCUUAGGGCAUGCCUGUUCGAGCGUCAUUUAAACCCUCAAGCUUUGCUUGGUGUUGGGCGUUUGUCCCGCCUCUGGCGCGGACUCGCCUCGAAAACAUUGGCGGUUGGUGUACCGGCUGGAAGCGCAGCAGAGACGCGCUCUUUCUAAGCCUCGCAUCUCCCUCCAGGAAGCCAAACUCACAUCUUGACCUCGGAUCAGGUAGGGAUACCCGCUGAACUUAA